UACGAAGGGGGGCAAGCGUUGUUCGGAAUUACUGGGCGUAAAGGGCGCGUAGGCGGUCUUGCAAGUCAGAUGUGAAAGCCCCGGGCUCAACCCGGGAACUGCAUUUGAAACUGCAAGGCUUGAGUAUGGGAGAGGUAAGUGGAAUUCCGAGUGUAGAGGUGAAAUUCGUAGAUAUUCGGAAGAACAUCAAUGGCGAAGGCAGCUUACUGGACCAUAACUGACGCUGAGGCGCGAAAGCGUGGGGAGCAAACAGG
rnacentral:rRNA from 1 species